rnacentral:rRNA from 1 species
AUGAAUGAUAUAAUGUUUUCCUUUGAAAAGGAAGGGGGUAACCCAAGGCCUGGGCAUUUUAUGGCAGCGUUCAGAGAUGCUGUCGAAGAAUGUGGGCUCUCUGAUUUGGGCUAUUAUGGGGACAAAUUCACAUGGCACCGAGGGCUAAUCCGGGAGCGCCUGGACAGGGCCAUAUCGAAUGAUGGGUGGAAUAGCAUGUUUCCGGCAGCAAGAGUUGAGCACUUGGAGUAUCACAAAUCUGACCAUAGACCAUUGUUACUUCACAUGGAGGAGGAAUUAUUGCAUGAGGAUAAAGGACCACCGGUACUCAGAUUUGAAGCCAGGUGGGUUAAAGAGGAGAACUUCCGGGCUGUUGUGGAGGAAGCAUGGCAGGGUUUAGAUCCUCUAGACCCAAAUGCUAGUCUGGCGGAGAAGCUAGCCUAG